AAAUCUGCAUGAAGGAGUGAAGGAUGAGAGAAGUGAUGGACUGAAUGUGCAUGAAGUGGAGAAGCAAGACCU